rnacentral:ncRNA from 1 species
ACCCCUGUGCAAAUGCCCUUUACCCUCCCACCCGAGCACAAGGAGCCGGUAUCAGGCACAAACAUCUUUAGCCCAUGACACCUUGCUUAGCCACACCCCCAAGGGGAUCCAGCAGUGAUAAAUAUUAAGCCAUAAGUGAAAACUUGACUUAGUUAAGACUAUGAGAGUCGGUCAAGCUCGUGCCAGCCACCGCGGUUACACGGGCGACUCAAGUUGAUUAAUACCGGCGUAAAGUGUGGUUAGGAAAACCCAUAACUAAAGCCGAAUGCCUUCCUCACUGUCAUACGUACUCGAAGGUAAGAAGCCCAAUUACGAAAGUAGCUUUACUCUUUCUGAAUCCACGAAAGCUAUGGAACAAACUGGGAUUAGAUACCCCACUAUGCAUAGCCGUAAACUUAGAUAAGAUACCACAUCUCUUAUCCGCCUGGGAACUACGAGCGCUAGCUUAAAACCCAAAGGACUUGGCGGUGCUUGACAUCCACCUAGAGGAGCCUGUUCUGUAACCGAUAAUCCCCGUUAAACCUCACCCUCUCUUGCAAUUUCAGCCUAUAUACCGCCGUCGUCAGCCUACCCUAUGAAGGCCCAACAGUUAGCAAAAUUGGUAAACCCCAAAACGCCAGGUCGAGGUGUAGCAUAUGAGAGGGUAGAAAUGGGCUACACUCCUUAACUAUAAGGAAAACGAAUAACGCAUUGAAAUAUGCGAUUUGAAGGAGGAUUUAGUAGUAAGUAGAAAAUAGAGCGUUCUACUGAAUUUGGCCCUAAAGCGCGCACAUACCGCCCGUCACUCUCCCCAAGCGAUUAAACCUAACAUCCCUAAUAAGCCACAACAGCAAAGGGGAGAUAAGUCGUAACAUGGUAAGUGUACCGGAAGGUGCACUUGGCUAAC